GAUGAACGCUGGCGGCGUGCCUAAUACAUGCAAGUCGAGCGAACGGACGAGAAGCUUGCUUCUCUGAUGUUAGCGGCGGACGGGUGAGUAACACGUGGAUAACCUACCUAUAAGACUGGGAUAACUUCGGGAAACCGUAGCUAAUACCGGAUAAUAUUUUGAACCGCAUGGUUCAAAAGUGAAAGACGGUUUUGCUGUCACUUAUAGAUGGAUCCGCGCUGCAUUAGCUAGUUGGUAAGGUAACGGCUUACCAAGGCAACGAUGCGUAGCCGACCUGAGAGGGUGAUCGGCCACACUGGAACUGAGACACGGUCCAGACUCCUACGGGAGGCAGCAGUAGGGAAUCUUCCGCAAAGGGCGAAAGCCUGACGGAGCAACGCCGCGUGAGUGAUGAAGGUCUUCGGAUCGUAAAACUCUGUUAUUAGGGAAGAACAUAUGUGUAAGUAACUGUGCACAUCUUGACGGUACCUAAUCAGAAAGCCACGGCUAACUACGUG
rnacentral:rRNA from 1 species